rnacentral:rRNA from 1 species
AUACGGAGGAUCCGAGCGUUAUCCGGAUUUAUUGGGUUUAAAGGGAGCGUAGGUGGACUGGUAAGUCAGUUGUGAAAGUUUGCGGCUCAACCGUAAAAUUGCAGUUGAUACUGUCAGUCUUGAGUACAGUAGAGGUGGGCGGAAUUCGUGGUGUAGCGGUGAAAUGCUUAGAUAUCACGAAGAACUCCGAUUGCGAAGGCAGCUCACUGGACUGCAACUGACACUGAUGCUCGAAAGUGUGGGUAUCAAACAGGAUUAGAUACCCUGGUAGUCCACACAGUAAACGAUGAAUACUCGCUGUUUGCGAUAUACAGUAAGCGGCCAAGCGAAAGCAUUAAGUAUUCCACCUGGGGAGUACGCCGGCAACGGUGAAACUCAAAGGAAUUGACGGGGGCCCGCACAAGCGGAGGAACAUGUGGUUUAAUUCGAUGAUACGCGAGGAACCUUACCCGGGCUUAAAUUGCAGUGGAAUGAUGUGGAAACAUGUCAGUGAGCAAUCACCGCUGUGAAGGUGCUGCAUGGUUGUCGUCAGCUCGUGCCGUGAGGUGUCGGCUUAAGUGCCAUAACGAGCGCAACCCUUAUCUUCAGUUACUAACAGGUCAUGCUGAGGACUCUGGAGAGACUGCCGUCGUAAGAUGUGAGGAAGGUGGGGAUGACGUCAAAUCAGCACGGCCCUUACGUCCGGGGCUACACACGUGUUACAAUGGGGGGUACAGAAGGCAGCUAGCGGGUGACCGUAUGCUAAUCCCAAAAGCCUCUCUCAGUUCGGAUCGAAGUCUGCAACCCGACUUCGUGAAGCUGGAUUCGCUAGUAAUCGCGCAUCAGCCACGGCGCGGUGAAUACGUUCCCGGGCCUUGUACACACCGCCCGUCAAGCCAUGGGAGCCGGGGGUACCUGAAGUACGUAACCGCAAGGACCGUCCUAGGGUAAAACUGGUGACUGGGGCU